rnacentral:rRNA from 1 species
GAUGAACGCUGGCGGCGUGCCUAAUACAUGCAAGUCGAGCGAACAGACGAGGAGCUUGCUCCUCUGACGUUAGCGGCGGACGGGUGAGUAACACGUGGAUAACCUACCUAUAAGACUGGGAUAACUUCGGGAAACCGGAGCUAAUACCGGAUAAUAUAUUGAACCGCAUGGUUCAAUAGUGAAAGACGGUUUUGCUGUCACUUAUAGAUGGAUCCGCGCCGCAUUAGCUAGUUGGUAAGGUAACGGCUUACCAAGGCGACGAUGCGUAGCCGACCUGAGAGGGUGAUCGGCCAUACUGGAACUGAGACACGGUCCAGACUCCUACGGGAGGCAGCAGUAGGGAAUCUUCCGCAAUGGGCGAAAGCCUGACGGAGCAACGCCGCGUGAGUGAUGAAGGUCUUCGGAUCGUAAAACUCUGUUAUUAGGGAAGAACAAAUGUGUAAGUAACUAUGCACGUCUUGACGGUACCUAAUCAGAAAGCCACGGCUAACUACGUG